rnacentral:rRNA from 1 species
CCUACGGGAGGCAGCAGUGAGGAAUAUUGGUCAAUGGACGAGAGUCUGAACCAGCCACGUCGCGUGAAGGAUGACUGCCCUCUGGGUUGUACACUUCUUUUAUAAUGGAAUAAAACGCGGCACGUGUGCCUUUUUUCAUGUACUUUAUGAAUAAGGCUCGGCUAACUCCGUGCCAGCAGCUGCGGUAAUACGGAGGAUCUGAGCGUUAUCCGGAUUUCUUGGGUGUAAAGGGAGCGAAGGUGGAUGGUUAAGUCAGUUGUGAAAGUUUGCGGCUCAACCGUAAAAUUGCAGUUGAAACUGGCAGGAUUGAGUACAGGAGAGGUGGGCGGAAUUCGUGGUGUAGCGGGGAAAUGCUUAGAUAUCACGAAGAACUCCGAUUGCGAAGGCAGCUCACUGGACUGCAACUGACACUGAGGCUCGAAAGUGUGGGUAGCAAACAGGAUUAGAUACCCGGGUAGUC